rnacentral:rRNA from 1 species
AACACAUGCAAGUCGAACGAGAAAGUGGAGCAAUCCAUGAGUAAAGUGGCGACCGGGUGAGUAACACGUGACUAACCUACCUCCGAGUGGGGAAUAACUCCGGGAAACCGGGGCUAAUACCGCAUAACAUCGCAAGAUCAAAGCAGCAAUGCGCUUGGAGAGGGGGUCGCGGCUGAUUAGCUCGUUGGCGGGGUAACGGCCCACCAAGGCGAAGAUCGGUAUCCGGCCUGAGAGGGCGCACGGACACACUGGAACUGAAACACGGUCCAGACUCCUACGGGAGGCAGCAGUGGGGAAUUUUGCGCAAUGGGGGAAACCCUGACGCAGCAACGCCGCGUGGAGGAUGAAGCCCUUUGGGGCGUAAACUCCUUUCGACUCGGACGAUAAUGACGGUACGAGUGGAAGAAGCACCGGCUAACUCUGUGCCAGCAGCCGCGGUAAUACAGAGGGUGCGAGCGUCGUUCGGAAUUAUUGGGCGUAAAGGGCGCGUAUGCGGUGCGGUAAGUCACCUGUGAAAUCUCCU